rnacentral:rRNA from 1 species
UUUGACGUUACCUACAGAAGAAGCACCGGCUAACUCCGUGCCAGCAGCCGCGGUAAUACGGAGGGUGCGAGCGUUAAUCGGAAUUACUGGGCGUAAAGCGCAUGCAGGCGGCCUGUUAAGUCAGAUGUGAAAGCCCCGGGGCUUAACCUCGGAAUUGCAUUUGAAACUGGCAGGCUAGAGUCUUGUAGAGGGGGUAGAAUUUCAGGUGUAGCGGUGAAAUGCGUAGAGAUCUGAAGGAAUACCAGUGGCGAAGGCGGCCCCCUGGACAAAGACUGACGCUCAGAUGCGAAAGCGUGGGGAGCAAACAGGAUUAGAUACCCCUGGUAG